rnacentral:rRNA from 1 species
UAUAUUGCGCAAUGGGGGAAACCCUGAUCCAGCCAUCCCGCGUGUAUGAUGAAGGCCNNNGGGUGNUNAAGUACUUUUGGCAGNGANNAAAAGGUAUCCCGUAAUAAGGGAUACUGCUGACGACAUCUGCAGACUAAGCACCGGCUAACUACGUGCAAGCAGCCGCGGUAAUACGUAGGGUGCAAGCGUUAAACGGUAUUACCGGGCGUAAAGCGUGUGUAGGCGGUUCGGAAAGAACGAUGUGAAAUCCCAGGGCUCAACCUUGGAACUGCAUUUUUAACUGCCGAGCUAGAGUAUGUCAGAGGGGGGUAGAAUUCCAAGUGUAGCAGUGAAAUGCGUAGAUAUGUGGAGGAAUACCGAUGGCGAAGGCAGCCCCCUGGGAUAAUACUGACGCUCAGACACGAAAGCGUGGGGAGCAAACAGG